rnacentral:rRNA from 1 species
GACGAACGCUGGCGGCGUGCCUAAUACAUGCAAGUCGAGCGAAGCGGCGGGUGGGUGAGUAACGCGUGGGUAACCUGCCCUUAAGUCUGGGAUACCAUUUGGAAACAGAUGCUAAUACCGGAUACUAACGUAUGGACCUGCGAUGCAUUAGCUAGUUGGUAAGGUAACGGCUUACCAAGGCGAUGAUGCAGAGCCGAGUGGAGAGACUGAUCGGCCACAUUGGGACUGAGAAACGGCCAAAACUCCUACGGGAGGCAGCAGUAGGGAAUCUUCCAAAAUGGACGAAAGUCUGAUGGAGCAACGCCGCGGGAGGGAAGAAGGUUUUGGGAUCGUAAAGCUUUGUUGUGGGGGAAGCGGUAAUCAACCAGAAAGUCACGGCUAACUACGUGCCAGCCGCCGCGGUAAUAC